GACGAACUUUGGCGGCGUGCUUAACACAUGCAAGUCGAACGGAAAGGCCCUGCUUUUGUGGGGUGCUCGAGUGGCGAACGGGUGAGUAACACGUGAGUAACCUGCCCUUGACUUUGGGAUAACUUCAGGAAACUGGGGCUAAUACCGGAUAGGAGCUCCUGCUGCAUGGUGGGGGUUGGAAAGUUUCGGCGGUUGGGGAUGGACUCGCGGCUUAUCAGCUUGUUGGUGGGGUAGUGGCUUACCAAGGCUUUGACGGGUAGCCGGCCUGAGAGGGUGACCGGCCGCAUUGGGACUGAGAUACGGCCCAGACUCCUACGGGAGGCAGCAGUGGGGAAUAUUGCACAAUGGGCGGAAGCCUGAUGCAACAACGCCGCGUGCGGGAUGACGGCCUUCGGGUUGUAAACCGCUUUCGCCUGUGACGAAGCGUGAGUGACGGUAAUGGGUAAAGAAGCACCGGCUAACUACGUGCCAGCAGCCGCGGUGAUACGUAGGGUGCAAGCGUUGUCCAGAUUUAUUGGGCGUAAAGGGCUCGUAGGUGGUUGAUCGCGUCGGAAGUGUAUCUUGGGGCUUAACCCUGAGCGUGCUUUCGAUACGGGUUGACUUGAGGAAGGUAGGGGGGAAUGGAAUUCCUGGUGGAGCGGUGGAAUGCGCGAUAUCAGGAGGAACACCAGUGGCGAAGGCGGUUCUCUGGGCCUUUCCUGACGCUGAGGAGCGAAAGCGUGGGGAGCGAACAGGCUUAGAUACCCUGGUAGUCCACGCUGUAAACGGUGGGUACUAGGUGUGGGGUCCAUUCCACGGGUUCCGUGCCGUAGCUAACGCUUUAAGUACCCCGCCUGGGGAGUACGGCCGCAAGGCUAAAACUCAAAGGAAUUGACGGGGCCCCGCACAAGCGGCGGAGCAUGCGGAUUAAUUCGAUGCAACGCGUAGAACCUUACCUGGGUUUGACAUGGAUCGGGAGUGCUCAGAGAUGGGUGUGCCUCUUUUGGGGUCGGUUCACAGGUGGUGCAUGCCUGUCGUCAGCUCGUGUCGUGAGAUGUUGGGUUAAGUCCCGCAACGAGCGCAACCCUUGUUCACUGUUGCCAGCACGUUAUGGUGGGGACUCAGUGGAGACCGCCGGGGUCAACUCGGAGGAAGGUGGGGAUGACGUCAAGUCAUCAUGCCCCUUAUGUCCAGGGCUUCACGCAUGCUACAAUGGCUGGUACAGAGAGUGGCGAGCCUGUGAGGGUGAGCGAAUCUCGGAAAGCCGGUCUCAGUUCGGAUUGGGGUCUGCAACUCGACCUCAUGAAGUCGGAGUCGCUAGUAAUCGCAGAUCAGCAACGCUGCGGUGAAUACGUUCCCGGGGC
rnacentral:rRNA from 1 species